CUUUGGAGUCGGCCCCUUCCCCCCGAGUUGAUCAAUUAAGUAUUUAGAUGCCAACCUGGACUUCUUGUUUGGUGGACGGUCGGGAGCUGAAACGAUAAGAGAGGAAAGGCGAGACACGGGAGCGAGUCGCUAUGGAGGAGGUUGAAUCGGAACAGCAAGCCGUAGCCGCGCGCCCGGCGAGGGAAGAGGAGAGGCACGGGACGAUGAAUCCUUCGCCGACGAUGAUAGUGACUUUUCCGGAUGCCGCCCGCCGCAGACCCCAGAGCUUCCCACCGCCUCUCACGCUGGAAGGCGAAGAGUCUACCGAGGACAUGAGCCAUCACAAUAUGUGGCAGGUGUAUGCCCUUGGAGGCUUCAUGAUUCUGAGGUGGAUUUGGGCUCGUUGGAGGGAGAGGAGGGAUAGAGGGAAAUCAAAUGAAGAUUUAUAGAAUUGUGAACGUAGGUUGGUGGAGGUUUCUUUCGGAAACACUUGUUGAGAGCUUAUUGAAUUAUAGUACCAUGCAUUCGCCAGCAUACUGCUCGUGAAUCCAUAUAAACAGCAUCUGGCACUUGCCUCUAGUAUUUUACAGCAUAAAGCUGCUAUACUAGCUUAAAGAUGCCAAUGUUCAUACUUGAACCACUGCUAGUUAGUUGUACUAAUCACUUUGUUUCGGGUUGAAGCUCUGCAGUCUGAGAAAAAGAUUGGCAAGCAUCCUUUGGUAACAUUUUGAAAUCAUUAUGUUUCAUGUGUCUUAGACCUCUCGCUUGAUAUUAACGAUGAAGACGGCUCUAACAUACCUAAACGACAGUCAUAUCAUCUCGUAAACAUCAAAAGAGCCAGAUUAAUGAAUUCUUUGCUCCACAUGUUGUUGAAAAGUAAUCUUGUCUAGGUUUAAUAUCAGUGUAUAAUACAUGUUAUAUCUGGCAAGUUAUAUAUGAACUUAUAUUUCUUUGUUUAUUUAAAAAUUUUCAAAUUGCUAAAAUUAUAAAAUGCUUUGUUUAAAUCUUUGUAAUCCUAUUUUGCAUUCAUAAUUGAUUCCUUUGUUUGUGCUCUUCAACAAAGAAGCGUAUGUAUAUGUUCUCGUGAGGGUGGCACAAUUAAGUGGUGGUUGGCAUCUUCUAUAGUUUCUUUUGAGCUAACCAAGAAAUUGAACUCUUUGUAUGGUUAGUUGAUUCUAGUAUUUCAAGAAGCAAGUUUCUAAAAUAUUUCGCAUUUUCAUGCAGUUUUUGUUAGAACAUCUGUUGCAUAUUUUGCCAUAAAGACAGGUCAGAACAUGUACAGACAACAAUAUGAACUAUCUAUUGGAUUUUGUAGUGGUUGUUGCCAGUAAUCCUUUCAGAAAAACAAGUACUACUGAGGCUGCCAAAGUUCGAAGUUAAUAUAAGUACAUCUCCUGGAACAGAAUGUAAUACUUAUCAUAGCUUUUUCCUUCUGCUCUGUUGACUAUCCCUGAUAUGGACUUCUUGAGGAUUAAACCCAUGAGCAUGUACCACCAUGAGGAACAUUUCCCCCAAUUCCUGUGAUGGGAAUUCCAGAAAUCGUCGGUGCCAGGAGCUUCAAGAAUUGUGGUUAUAAAUCAAGGAUUAUGCUUCUCUUCUCUUCAAGCAUCCAUGACUGCUUAAGUUGAAGUAUGCUACCCGGGUAAAAGAUACAGCACCGCCAGAAGGUACACGAAAAAGUUUUGGCAGCAUAUCGAACUAUGCCCAUUAGGAUUGUGGAAUGUAGGUGCCAACAUAACCAAAUCCAACGAUGAAGAAGGUGAUCGACUGGAGGAAGAGGUAGAGGAAGUAAUGGUUCUUCCCAUACUUCAGAUCAUAGCAUGCACAGAAGAAGAGAUAGGCCCCAGUAAAGAGCUCCAUUUUAUGUAACCUGAUUCCAAAAACAACACAGAGAGCACAUCAAUACCAUUACAGAGACAUGACAUUCUCGAAAAGGACCCAGAACACCAGCAAGUGAAGUGACCUAGGACGAAGCAUCAAGUGAGUGGGUUAUCUUUGAAGCUUAACCAAAGAGAUGAGCUUAAUGAUCACUUGGCAUCCAGUUUCAUGGUUGAAUAUCCAGCUAAGAUUCAAUUGAAAGGGAACAGUGGUACCUCGGCGUCCCAACAGAAUUCAGCAUUGUAAUGACGGAAGGUAGGUAGACUAAACCCCACAUUGGUAUUUCCACUUCAGGAACAAAGACAGUGGCAGGGAUCACCAAGCAGUAAAAUAUAAAGGUCACUAUAUGACCCACAAUCUUGCGGAUGAAGAAGAAGCUGUAUAUCACAUAAACUUUGGUCCACAGGGAUACUUUCUGCAUUGUCAAGGAGGCAUCACAAAGCCAAUUAGAAUCUCUGGAAAAGUUGUGGGUGUUUCUAACACACAGGGAACAUACCUUGUUCUUGGAGAUCUCCACCACCAUUUUCCUGAACAAGUUCGCUGGUCCACACGACCAUCUGUGUUGCUGAUGGCGAAAGGCCUUGAAAGUACUUGGUAGCUCGCUUUUCACCUGAGUUCAGAGAUGUAGGCAAUCUAAUCAACUACUGAAUCGCUUCAAUCAUUUGAAGAUCAAGAUGCAAGUUUGUAGCAGUUAAUGCUUACCCCGAGGUCGUUGAGGAAUAUAAAUUUCCAGCCCUUGAGGCUUGCUCGAACAGCCAAGUCCAUGUCCUCUACAGUGGUCCGAUCCUUCCAACCUCCGGCUUCAUUGAUAGCUGCAAUCCGCCAUACCCCAGCAGUUCCUGCGAAGAGACUCCAUUUUAGCAACUCACCUUGACAAUAACGACUGGUAUUCAUCCUUCCAUUUCUUACUUAAUUCUGAGGUGCACUAAUAACUCACCAUUGAAUCCGAAGAAAGCAUAGGUGGAGGAUCCCACUUCCUGCUCGAUAGCAAAAUGGUAAUCCAAGGACAUCUCCUGCAUCCUUGUCAUCAAGCAUUCAUCCGCGUUCACUGCGACACAUGCGAUGCAAGCAAUGCUAAGGAAACUAAGGAAAUCCAGCAUCGACAACGUUUCAAAUGCCUAUUCUAGGUUAAUUGUCGCCAUGUUCAUGCACGUAGGAUUGGUCUGUAAAGAAGAUUAUGCAGUAAAGCAAGGAUGGCUGAAUGGACUACUAAUGAGUUGGAUAGUGACAGCCGACAAGAUAACUUCUUUAUCACGCAGGAAGUAAAAGAUUAGAAAAGAUAAAGAUAAAGAUAAAGGGUGAUUCCUGCGGUGUCGGUGCUUAUGAACAGUGCAUGAGGAGACAGCUUUGGGCUGUAAUAUCACGAGUAUAAUUGCACAUGGGAAGGCAAAACGUACAGUUGUACCAGAGUAAAAAACACAAGUUGGAUCCAUCUACAUUAAUCUGCAGCUACCACAUUUGUUAUUUAGCUACUGCACCAUUGAAACAUAGCAAUUUAGCUGGUCCUGAUAAUAAACUUAAGGAUGCCUCUUUCUCUCUC